CGGACAGUUGGUGCAGGAAGAAUGCAGCAGUAUCAGCGCACUCCAUCCCGGGGAUCUGAAUGCAUUUGCGGAGAGAACAGGGAAAUAAGAGGUAAGAGAGAGAAAAAAAACAAAGCAGGCAAAUAGCACAGCUGUCCACAGGGGGCGGGGCUUAAGGCAGGGCCUGUGCCGGAGGGUGGCCCAGCACAGUCGGGGCCUCGGGGCCCAGUCUGGAGGGGGCCUGGCACAGUUGAGGCCUCCUUUGGGCCCAGUCUGGAGGGGGCCCAGGCAGAGCCAGGGCGUCGAGGCCCAGGCUGGAGGAGGACCAGGCUCAGUUGGGGCUGCUUUGGGGCUCAGGCUGGAGGAGGACCAGGCUCGGUUGAGGCUGCUUUGGGGCCCAGUCUGGAGGGGGGCCCAGCACAGUCGGGGCCUCGGGGCCCAGUCUGGAGGGGGCCUGGCACAGUUGUGGCCUCCUUUGGGCCCAGUCUGGAGAGGGCCCAGGCAGAGCCAUGGCCUUGGGGCUUAGGCUGGAGGAGGACCAGGCUCAGUUGGGGCUGCUUUGUGGCCCAGUCUGGAGGAGGACCAGGCUCAGUUGGGGCUGCUUUGGGGCCCAGUCAGGAGGGGAGCCCAGCACAGUCGGGGCCUCGGGGCCCAGUCUGGAGGGGACCUGGCACAGUUGUGGCCUCCUUUUGGCCCAGUCUGGAGAGGGCCCAGGCAGAGCCAUGGCCUCGGGGCUUAGGCUGGAGGAGGACCAGGCUCAGUUGGGGCCGCUUUGGGGCUCAGGAGGCCCAGUCUGGAGGAGGACCAGGCUCAGUUGGGGCUGCUUUGGGGCCCAGUCUGGAGGAGGACCAGGCUCAGCUGGAGCUGCUUUGGGGCCCAGUCCAGAGGGAUGCCCAGCACAGCCAGAGCCUUGUGGCAGCAGUCCAACUCUCAAGUCAACCUUUAACCAUAACCUAAAAUGGUAACCGUAGUGAAAGGUAGUGGCAGAUACAGCUGCUUUACUGUGUUUUAAUUUUCCCAAGAAUGGUGAAGGACUCAAGCUAGUAAAGAAAGACCCCUUUCUGAAGAGCAGGACUCAGAAGGUAUUAGCAGAGAGCAGAUGUCCCAGUAGAGAUUCUUCCCCUUAGACAGCCAGCCCUUAAAUGAGGUUAGGGAGGGCUGGGACCAGGCUCCACCCCUUUUCUGCACAGGUGAAACGCUUCCAGCCGUGCUCCGCAGCAGACCAUGUUUUAACAAAGGUGAAAGCCUGUGAAACAAAAGAAUCCCUUCUUACUUGUUUCACGUUUGUGUUUGUUGACCGCAGUUCCAACCAGGUGGACUCUGUGUCUUGCAAGCGACACCUAGAAGCAGGUACAGGCAGGAGGUACAGCACCCUGCAACCUCCAGGGGCCUUUGUGCAACACCAGAUGUUCAUGUCCUAGAAGCACGUGGCGGAGCACGUCCUGGGAUCAAGGUGCCAUGGACUGGAAAAUGCAGCUCUGGACAUACAGGCUUGGCGGAGUUCCUGUGUGAAGACAAAACUCCCAGUACUCCAGAAACGUGGAGGCAGAAGAGCAGUGACAAGG